ACGGGAGGCAGCAGUGGGGAAUAUUGCACAAUGGAGGAAACUCUGAUGCAGCGACACCGCGUGAGUGAAGAAGUAUUUCGGUAUGUAAAGCUCUAUCAGCAGGAAAGAAAAUGACGGUACCUGACUAAGAAGCCCCGGCUAACUACGUGCCAGCAGCCGCGGUAAUACGUAUGGUGCAAGCGUUAUCCGGAUUUACUGGGUGUAAAGGGAGCGCAGACGGCAUGGCAAGCCAGAUGUGAAAGGUGGGGGCUCAACCCCCAAGCUGCAUUUGGAACUGUCAAGCUAGAGUAUCGGAGAGGUAAGUGGAAUUCCUAGUGUAGCGGUGAAAUGCGUAGAUAUUAGGAGGAACACCAGUGGCGAAGGCGGCUUACUGGACGAUAACUGACGUUGAGGCUCGAAAGCGUGGGGAGCAAACAGGAUUAGAUACCCUGGUA
rnacentral:rRNA from 1 species